rnacentral:snoRNA from 1 species
AAGACUAUACUUUCAGGGAUCAUUUCUAUAGUUUGUUACUUUUGUGAAGCAAGAGUAUAACUGUAUUAUCUUAUUUUAUUUUAUUUUAUUUUAUUUGAGAGAGAGAAAGCAUGAGCUGGGGGGAGGGUGAGAGGGAGAAGCAGACUCCUCGCUGAGCAGG